rnacentral:rRNA from 1 species
GUCCACGCCGUAAACGAUGAGUGCUAGGUGUUAGGGGGUUUCCACCCCUUAGUGCUGCAGUUAACGCAUUAAGCACUCCGCCUGGGGAGUACGGCCGCAAGGCUGAAACUCAAAAGAAUUGACGGGGGCCCGCACAAGCGGUGGAGCAUGUGGUUUAAUUCGAAGCAACGCGAAGAACCUUACCAGGUCUUGACAUCCCGCUGACCGCUAUGGAGACAUAGCUUUCCCUUCGGGGACAGCGGUGACAGGUGGUGCAUGGUUGUCGU